GAUGAUAUGGAUGUUCAAUAUUAAUAACUUUGAGGCCAAAGUGAAGAAAUUGAAAAAGGCUGAAGGACAGUCAAAUGGUAAGUCACAGAUGACUGUGAGUGAACGUCAUGGCUAGGGAAGUGGCAUAAAGCAGGAGGCUUGUGUUUCACACAAAACUGGUCUUAGAAGGGGAAGGGCGAUGCAUUUUUAGGAUAGCCAUGCAGAUACAUGAACAUUUUUGUUUAUUUUAAUGAUCUCAUCAAUACAGUGGAUUCCAUCAUAAAACUAUUCUGCAGAAUCAUUGAUGGGAGGGGAAAAAUGUAAGAAAAUUGGCAUUGUGAGGAACCUGGAACUGCAGUAUAGUCCUUCAAAGAUACUGAAAUGAAAUGGAGUCAACUCCCCUGACAGCAGGAUACUUGAAAUGCAGUUUGUAUGAAAUCUUUUGCUCCCUUGUAUGAAACUUGAAAUGUGAAAAUGAAACCUCUCAUUAUUAGACUAGCAAAUUGUCUGUAACUCUGUUGCAAAAAGAUUCAAACAAGAUUUUAAAAGAAAUAUGGAGGAUAGGAGGAACAUACUAACUGGAAUAUUUCUUUGUUUCUCUUUUGUGGGAGAGAAGAUCCUUUGAUGUUAUUCAUUUUUUUAAUUAAGACCGUGACCAAGACUUCAUCAAGCAAGGCCCGGAUUACCAACUUUCCUCAGACCCUGAAGGUACAGGACACUUCUGAAGUCUCGAGGCAAUGUAAUUAAUCAGCUAUAUGGAGAGAUGGAGUCCCGUUAAACUAUCAGCCACUACUGGCGAUCUGCAGUAGAGCCAUGCUGAUCCUGCAGUACGUGAGGCAGAACUCCCUGUAUGAGCCAUUAAAAGAAGUCAGAUCCUGCUGAGGAGGAGAGGUAGGUCUUGUGCUUAAUGCAUCGAACUGGGAUUCAGGAGGCAGAAGCCGAAUUCCCGCUUCCCUGCCUCAGCCUUGCUGCCUGCCCUUAGGGUUGCCACUUACUAUCUGUGCCUUAAUUGCAAAGUUUCUGCGUGCCUGUGUUGCUGUACAAAGCUGUUUUUUCUUAAAGAGGCAAGAUGUUUGCCACAACAGAGCCCUACGAUCAAGAUAAAGUAUCGUGGUUAAAACAGAAAGUUGGAUAUUUGCUGGAAUGAAGACUGUUUCUUGGGCUGACCCACAAUGCACAAAUUGUGGGGGCUUGUUAACUUGCUGCUGUGCUAAUGCCCAUUCACACGGCUCGUUUCUUUUUUGCAUUGCUCAAUUUGUGUGAAAAUCUCUGUCUUUACAUUUCCAGUAAAAGUCUGGUCCGGGCUGAGUUAACAUAAAGCUUGGUGGAGAAACAAGGGGACAGGCUAGCGUUAAAAGGAAGGGAAGCAGAGGUGACUCAAAGUUUAGAGAGCCUUAGAGAAGUUUACUGUCUCCCGUUGCUCUCUGUUCGACAGAGUUGGCCCAUCUAAAACCAACACUGGCCAGCAGCAGUGGGAAUCCUUUUCAAUCACCAUUAGCAACACUUUUAUUUCCAUCAUACUUGACCACAGCAGGCUGCAUCCCAGUGAAGAGCAUUCCUUUCAGAAAGCCAGCAGACAUUCAAGUGCAGCGGAUUUACUGUGUGAAAAUGGCAUUUUUAGGGGCUUCUGAAAAUGUUUAAAUGAAUGCUCUUUUUUUUUUUUUUUUUUUUUUUAUUCUUUCUCACAGCUUGAUUCUCAGCUUAGAAAGCCCUUCUUGCUAAACAAUUUUAGAGUCUCCUACAGGAG
rnacentral:lncRNA from 1 species